ACGAUGAUCUCCAGAUUGCUGGGGGGAUUAGUGGCGAACGGGUGAGUAACACGUGAGUAACCUGCCCUUGACUCUGGGAUAAGCCUGGGAAACUGGGUCUAAUACCGGAUAUGACUUCUCAUCGCAUGGUGGGGGGUGGAAAGCUUUUUGUGGUUUUGGAUGGACUCGCGGCCUAUCAGCUUGUUGGUGGGGUAAUGGCCUACCAAGGCGACGACGGGUAGCCGGCCUGAGAGGGUGACCGGCCACACUGGGACUGAGACACGGCCCAGACUCCUACGGGAGGCAGCAGUGGGGAAUAUUGCACAAUGGGCGCAAGCCUGAUGCAGCGACGCCGCGUGAGGGAUGACGGCCUUCGGGUUGUAAACCUCUUUCAGUAGGGAAGAAGCCUUUCGGGGUGACGGUACUUGCAGAAGAAGCGCCGGCUAACUACGUGCCAGCAGCCGCGGUAAUACGUAGGGCGCAAGCGUUAUCCGGAAUUAUUGGGCGUAAAGAGCUCGUAGGCGGUUUGUCGCGUCUGCUGUGAAAGACCGGGGCUCAACUCCGGUUCUGCAGUGGGUACGGGCAGACUAGAGUGCRGUAGGGGAGACUGGAAUUCCUGGUGUAGCGGUGAAAUGCSCAGAUAUCAGGAGGAACACCGAUGGCGAAGGCAGGUCUCUGGGCUGUAACUGACGCUGAGGAGCGAAAGCAUGGGGAGCGAACAGGAUUAGAUACCCUGGUAGUCCAUGCCGUAAACGUUGGGCACUAGGUGUGGGGGACAUYMCACGUUUUCCGCGCCGUAGCUAACGCAYUAAGUGCCCCGCCUGGGGAGUACGGCCGCAAGGCUAAAACUCARAGGAAUUGACGGGGGCCCGCACAAGCGGCGGAGCAUGCGGAUUAAUUCGAUGCAACGCGAAGAACCUUACCAAGGCUUGACAUGGACCGGAAAGACCUGGAAACAGGUGCCCCGCUUGCGGCCGGUUUACAGGUGGUGCAUGGUUGUCGUCAGCUCGUGUCGUGAGAUGUUGGGUUAAGUCCCGCAACGAGCGCAACCCUCGUUCUAUGUUGCCAGCGGUUCGGCCGGGGACUCAUAGGAGACUGCCGGGGUCAACUCGGAGGAAGGUGGGGACGACGUCAAAUCAUCAUGCCCCUUAUGUCUUGGGCUUCACGCAUGCUACAAUGGCCGGUACAAAGGGUUGCGAUACUGUGAGGUGGAGCUAAUCCCAAAAAGCCGGUCUCAGUUCGGAUUGGGGUCUGCAACUCGACCCCAUGAAGUCGGAGUCGCUAGUAAUCGCAGAUCAGCAACGCUGCGGUGAAUACGUUCCCGGGCCUCGUACACACCGCCCGUCAAGUCACGAAAGUUGGUAACACCCGAAGCCGGU
rnacentral:rRNA from 1 species